UCUCAUUCGCACUCAUAGACGUCAUCUAGAAGCAACUAUGUCAGCAAAAGGUGGUGGAGGACAGAAGUGUCCAGAUCCUUGCUCACCAGUUGUGCCGUGCCCAGACCAAUGCCAAAAUCCAUGCCCACCACCACAAUGCAAAGAUCAAUGCAUACCUGAUCCCUGCCAGCAACAAGGACAAGGACAAGGACAAGGACAAGGUUAUGGAGGCCAAGGGGGCUACCAGGGUGGUAGUGGAGGAGGAUGUAAGAAGUAAGGUGCCAAACCUGGAAAUUCUCUUGACAAGUCAACAUCCCCUAUCUACAAUCUUAAAUCCAAUCAAUGUCUACUGAUUAAAAAAUAUAUGUUUAAUAAAUCUUUAAAUUAAAUCUGUCCUCGUAAUGAAAUCAA